AUACGGAGGAUCCGAGCGUUAUCCGGAUUUAUUGGGUUUAAAGGGAGCGUAGGUGGACAGUUAAGUCAGUUGUGAAAGUUUGCGGCUCAACCGUAAAAUUGCAGUUGAUACUGGUUGUCUUGAGUACAGUAGAGGUGGGCGGAAUUCGUGGUGUAGCGGUGAAAUGCUUAGAUAUCACGAAGAACUCCGAUUGCGAAGGCAGCUCACUGGACUGCAACUGACACUGAUGCUCGAAAGUGUGGGUAUCAAACAGGAUUAGAAACCCUGGUAGUCCACACAGUAAACGAUGAAUACUCGCUGUUUGCGAUAUACAGUAAGCGGCCAAGCGAAAGCAUUAAGUAUUCCACCUGGGGAGUACGCCGGCAACGGUGAAACUCAAAGGAAUUGACGGGG
rnacentral:rRNA from 1 species